UACGAAGGGGGCUAGCGUUGCUCGGAAUCACUGGGCGUAAAGCGCACGUAGGCGGAUUGCUAAGUCAGGGGUGAAAUCCUGGAGCUCAACUCCAGAACUGCCUUUGAUACUGAGGAGCUUGAGUCCGGGAGAGGUGAGUGGAACUGCGAGUGUAGAGGUGAAAUUCGUAGAUAUUCGCAAGAACACCAGUGGCGAAGGCGGCUCACUGGCCCGAUACUGACGCUGAGGCACGAAAGCGUGGGGAGCAAACAGG
rnacentral:rRNA from 1 species